rnacentral:rRNA from 1 species
CGCUAGCGGCAGGCUUAAUACAUGCAAGUCGUGGGGCAGCACAGGUAGCAAUACUGGGUGGCGACCGGCAAACGGGUGCGGAACACGUACGCAACCUUCCUUUAAGCGGGGAAUAGCCCAGGGAAACUUGGAUUAAUACCCCAUAAGACAGUGGACUGGCAUCAGUCAGCUGUUAAAGCUCCGGCACUUAAAGAUGGGCGUGCGGCUGAUUAGGUAGUUGGCGGGGUAAAGGCCCACCAAGCCGACGAUCAGUAACUGGUGUGAGAGCACGACCAGUCACACGGGCACUGAGACACGGGCCCGACUCCUACGGGAGGCAGCAGUAAGGAAUAUUGGUCAAUGGACGCAAGUCUGAACCAGCCAUGCCGCGUGGAGGAUGAAGGCCCUCUGGGUUGUAAACUUCUUUUAUUGGGGAAGAAACCGGACUUUUCUAAGACCGUUGACGGUACCCAUUGAAUAAGCACCGGCUAACUCCGUGCCAGCAGCCGCGGUAAUACGGAGGGUGCAAGCGUUAUCCGGAUUCACUGGGUUUAAAGGGUGCGUAGGUGGGCAGGUAAGUCAGUGGUGAAAUCUCCAAGCUUAACUUGGAAACUGCCGUUGAUACUAUCUGUCUUGAAUGUAGUGGAGGUGAGCGGAAUAUGUCAUGUAGCGGUGAAAUGCUUAGAUAUGACAUAGAACAUCGAUUGCGAAGGCAGCUCGCUACACUAUUAUUGACACUGAGGCACGAA